rnacentral:misc_RNA from 1 species
GAUGAAGACGCAGCAAAAUGCGAUAAGUAAUGUGAAUUGCAGAAUUCAGUGAAUCAUCGAAUCUUUGAACGCACAUUGCGCCCGCCAGUAUUCUGGCGGGCAUGCCUGUUCGAGCGUCAUUUCAACCCUCAAGCACAGCUUGGUGUUGGGACUCGCGUUAAUUCGCGUUCCUCAAAUUGAUUGGCGGUCACGUCGAGCUUCCAUAGCGUAGUAGUAAAACCCUCGUUACUGGUAAUCGUCGCGGCCACGCCGUUAAACCCCAACUUCUGAAUGUUGACCUCGGAUCAGGUAGGAAUACCCGCUGAACUUAAGCAUAUCAAUAAGCGGAGGA